AGUGAACGCUGGCGGUAGGCCUAACACAUGCCAGUCGAACGGCAGCACAGUAAGAGCUUGCUCUUACGGGUGGCGAGUGGCGGACGGGUGAGGAAUACAUCGGAAUCUACUUUUUCGUGGGGGAUAACGUAGGGAAACUUACGCUAAUACCGCAUACGACCUACGGGUGAAAGCAGGGGAUCUUCGGACCUUGCGCAAUUGAAUGAGCCGAUGUCGGAUUAGCUAGUUGGCGGGGUAAAGGCCCACCAAGGCGACGAUCCGUAGCUGGUCUGAGAGGAUGAUCAGCCACACUGGAACUGAGAUACGGUCCAGACUCCUACGGGAGGCAGCAGUGGGGAAUAUUGGACAAUGGGCGCAAGCCUGAUCCAGCCAUACCGCGUGGGUGAAGAAGGCCUUCGGGUUGUAAAGCCCUUUUGUUGGGAAAGAAAAGCAGCAGGUUAAUACCCCGCUGUUCUGACGGUACCCAAAGAAUAAGCACCGGCUAACUUCGUG
rnacentral:rRNA from 1 species